rnacentral:rRNA from 1 species
AGAGUUUGAUCCUGGCUCAGAACGAACGCUGGCGGCAUGCCUAACACAUGCAAGUCGAACGGGAUCCGGACUUCGGUUCGGUGAGAGUGGCGGACGGGUGAGUAACGCGUGGGAACCUGCCCAGUGGUGGGGGAUAACUGCGGGAAACUGCAGCUAAUACCGCAUGAGCCCGAGAGGGGAAAGAUUUAUCGCCAUUGGAGGGGCCCGCGUUCGAUUAGGUAGUUGGUGAGGUAAUGGCUCACCAAGCCGACGAUCGAUAGCUGGUCUGAGAGGAUGAUCAGCCACACUGGGACUGAGAUACGGUCCAGACUCCUACGGGAGGCAGCAGUGGGGAAUAUUGGACAAUGGGGGCAACCCUGAUCCAGCAAUGCCGCGUGAGUGAUGAAGGCCUUUGGGUUGUAAAGCUCUUUUGCCAGGGACGAUGAUGACGGUACCUGGAGAAUAAGCCCCGGCUAACUUCGUGCUAGCAGCCGCGGUAAUACGAAGGGGGCAAGCGUUGUUCGGAAUUACUGGGCGUAAAGGGCGCGUAGGCGGCCGAUCAAGUCAGGCGUGAAAUUCCCGGGCUCAACCUGGGGGCUGCGCUUGAUACUGAUUGGCUUGAAUGCGGGAGAGGAUAGUGGAAUUCCCAGUGUAGAGGUGAAAUGCGUAGAUAUCUGGAGGAACACCGGUGGCGAAGGCGGCAUCCUGGACCGGUAUUGACGCUGAGGCGCGAAAGCCAGGGGAGCAAACGGGAUUAGAUACCCCGGUAGUCCUGGCCCUAAACGAUGAAUGCUUGGUGUGGCGGGUAUCGAUCCCUGCCGUGCCGAAGCUAACGCAUUAAGCAUUCCGCCUGGGGAGUACGGUCGCAAGGCUGAAACUCAAAUGAAUUGACGG